GACGAACGCUGGCGGCGUGCUUAACACAUGCAAGUCGAACGGAAAGGCCCUGCUUUUGUGGGGUGCUCGAGUGGCGAACGGGUGAGUAACACGUGAGUAACCUGCCCUUGACUUUGGGAUAACUUCAGGAAACUGGGGCUAAUACCGGAUAGGAGCUCCUGCUGCAUGGUGGGGGUUGGAAAGUUUCGGCGGUUGGGGAUGGACUCGCGGCUUAUCAGCUUGUUGGUGGGGUAGUGGCUUACCAAGGCUUUGACGGGUAGCCGGCCUGAGAGGGUGACCGGCCACAUUGGGACUGAGGUACGGCCCAGACUCCUACGGGAGGCAGCGGUGGGGAAUAUUGCACAAUGGGCGGAAGCCUGAUGCAGCAACGCCGCGUGCGGGAUGACGGCCUUCGGGUUGUAAACCGCUUUCGCCUGUGACGAAGCGUGAGUGACGGUAAUGGGUAAAGAAGCACCGGCUAACUACGUG
rnacentral:rRNA from 1 species